CAAGUCGAACGGCAGCACGGAGAGCUUGCUCUCUGGUGGCGAGUGGCGAACGGGUGAGUAAUAUAUCGGAACGUGUCCAAUAAUGGGGGAUAAUGAGUCGAAAGAUUCGCUAAUACCGCAUACGCCCUACGGGGGAAAGCAGGGGAUCGUAAGACCUUGCGUUAAUGGAGCGGCCGAUAUCUGAUUAGCUUGUUGGUGAGGUAAAGGCUCACCAAGGCGACGAUCAGUAGCUGGUUUGAGAGAACGACCAGCCACACUGGAACUGAGACACGGUCCAGACUCCUACGGGAGGCAGCAGUGGGGAAUUUUGGACAAUGGGGGCAACCCUGAUCCAGCCAUUCCGCGUGAGUGAAGAAGGCCUUCGGGUUGUAAAGCUCUUUCGCAAGGGAAGAAAACUUAUGAUCGAAUAAAUCAUGGGGUUGACGGUACCUUGAUAAGAAGCACCGGCUAACUACGUGCCAGCAGCCGCGGUAAUACGUAGGGUGCGAGCGUUAAUCGGAAUUACUGGGCGUAAAGCGUGCGCAGGCGGUUUUGUAAGUCGGAUGUGAAAUCCCCGGGCUCAACCUGGGAACUGCGUUCGAAACUGCAAGGCUAGAGUGUGUCAGAGGGGGGUAGAAUUCCACGUGUAGCAGUGAAAUGCGUAGAGAUGUGGAGGAAUACCAAUGGCGAAGGCAGCCCCCUGGGAUAACACUGACGCUCAUGCACGAAAGCGUGGGGAGCAAACAGGAUUAGAUACCCUGGUAGUCCACGCCCUAAACGAUGUCAACUAGUUGUUGGUAGAGUAAAAUCUAUGAGUAACGUAGCUAACGCGUGAAGUUGACCGCCUGGGGAGUACGGUCGCAAGAUUAAAACUCAAAGGAAUUGACGG
rnacentral:rRNA from 1 species